rnacentral:snRNA from 1 species
GUGCUUGCUUCGGCAGCACAUAUACUAAAAUUGGAACGAUACAGAGAUUAGCAUGGUCCCUGCACAAAGAUGACAUGCAAAUUUGUGAAGUGUUCCAUAUUAAA